GUAGACUCAGAAAACUUGGGAAGUUUAGAAUGGAGCUGAAGAGAUUGGGUUCCGUCCUAAGAUAAGGCAAAGGCACACCUUGAUAAGAAGUACCAGGACAGGCAGGAUCACAGCCAGAGCCACUGCUGAGGGGGAGAGACUCCCCACAGAUGGGGCUGAAACAGAAACCACCAACGACUGACUUCAGGGAGAUGUCUAAGAGCUUCUGGCAUGCCUCAGAUGGCAGGCGGCUCCGGCACAUCCCAACUGUCUCCAUCACCUCUAAGGGAGAGACCUCCGGCCAAGAGGCUCUUUGCUUCUCUUGGUAACUCAAGCCCUGGAUGGCAUUAAAGAUAACUGAGGCUGGGAACGGUGGCUCACACCUGUAAUACCAGCACUUUGGGAGGCAGAGGCAGGAGGAUCAUCUGAGAUCAGGAGUUCAAGACCAGCUGGCCAACGUGGGGAAACUCCGUGUCUAUUAAAAAUACAAAAAUUAGCCAGAUGUGGUGGCGGGCGCCUGUAAUCCCAGCUCUUC
rnacentral:antisense_RNA from 1 species